UUCCCAGCUGACACUUGAGCCAUCAUGUGCGAAUUGUUCUUGUCCUUUCUUCUCUUUUUUUAUAUCCCCGCACAGGCCACCAUCACCAGAAUGGACCAAACCCCGGCCGACGCCAUCAAGGCGGCGGGCGACGACGUAAUCAUGAGCUGCAACCAUUCCAGCAAUCGAGGUUUUAAUAUGAUCUGGUACAAGCAGACCGCUCUGGCAGCCGCCUUCACCCAAGUGGCCCGGACGGGUGUGAAAAAUGUGGUGGUGGACGCUGACGUGUACCGGCUGACUGGCAGCGCCUCUCACUCGUCCCUUGGCGUCAACCGCCUCCGGCCUUCCGAGAACGGUGUGUACUUCUGCGCCGCCACGGAGGCGCACACGACGAUGCAUGACCUCGUCAGCCCCACCACAAAACGCCUUAAAUCCUGUUCCCCUUUUGAUAUAUUCUACAAUACACAUUUGUGUUUGGCUGUGGUUAACUUUUUCUUUCACACUCAUCUGUUGAGAGUCAAUGAAUGAACGUCUCAUCUUUUGGGGGUUAAAAGAAUCCGGAAACCACUGCGUGCCAGCCAAUCAGCUCGUCUCGACUGUUGCUCUUCAAACUGGCAGGAGUGAAGAACAGGCAGCACAGUCACCUCAUGUGACCCACCAGACGAUGUUUCUCUUGGUGCUGAGCUUGGCGGCUAGCGUUACUCUGCUCUCAGGACAGGAUGUCACGCAGAAACCCGCCGACAUUGUGGAGGCGGUGGGCCACUCGGUCACGAUUGAGUGUACGCACCGCAUACCGUCCUACGAUAUGAUGCUGUGGUACCGGCAGCGCGGCAGGGGCAUGCAGCUCAUCGGGUACAUGUACUUCAAAACUGUCACGAUGGAGCCCGGGGAGGAUGACGUCCAGCUGACUGGGAGCGCCGAAUCUGGCGAAACGUGCAAGAUGGUCAUCCCCGCACUGCACUGGAACAGCAGUGCUGUUUAUUACUGUGCAGCCAGAUACCACGGUGCAGUGUCGUGUUGAAUCGUGAAGUCAUAAACCUUAUCACACAAUCAGAGUCCCCCUAAUACCACAAUGCACCUGGAUCAAAACAUUCCAAGCACUCAAG